AUGCUCUGCUCUGCUCGGAUUCUCACGCUUUCUCUUCCGCCGGCGGCGUUCUACCUGUCACACUCCAGAUGUCCUCUUCAUACCAGCCUGAAAUCUAAUCUCAAAUGGCGACGCAAGGCGUCAGAUGCCGAGCCUUCCUCCUCUGCCGCUUCUGUAGAUUCCGAUUUGUCGGGGGAAAGUAAUUCCGCCGGGUUUUGUAUAAUUGAAGGACCGGAGGCAGUCCAGGAUUUUGCGGCAAUGGAGUUACAGGAAAUUCAGGAGAAUAUCAGGAGUCGUCGGAACAAAAUCUUUCUGCAGAUGGAGGAGGUUCGCCGGCUUAGAAUACAGCAACGAAUUAAAAGUGCUGAGCUAGGGAUUUUGAAGGAUGAGCAAGAAAAUGAGCUCCCCGAUUUCCCUUCAUUUAUUCCCUUUUUGCCCCCGCUGAAUUCGUCGAAUCUUAAGCAAUACUAUGCUACAUGGUUUGCACUCUUUACUGGAAUCGUGCUUUUUGGUGGACUUAUUGCUCCCACUCUGGAGUUAAAACUAGGAUUAGGGGGCACAUCAUAUGCUGAUUUUAUCCGGAGUAUGCAUCUUCCAAUGCAACUCAGUGAAGUUGAUCCGAUUGUGGCAUCAUUCUCGGGGGGAGCAGUUGGAGUAAUAUCAGCCUUGAUGGUGGUGGAGUUGAACAAUGUGAAGCAGCAAGAGGACAAGAAAUGCAAGUACUGCCUUGGCACAGGAUAUCUUGCUUGCGCUCGGUGUUCAAGCACCGGAUCACUUGUUCUUGCUGAACCAGUCUCAACAUUAAAAGACGGGGAUACACCCUUGUCUCAACCCAAGACAGAGAGGUGUCCUAACUGUUCGGGGUCUGGAAAGGUAAUGUGCCCGACAUGCCUUUGCACGGGAAUGGCAAUGGCGAGCGAGCACGAUCCACGGAUCGACCCGUUUGAUUGACCUGUUUGCAGCAACUUAUUGCAUUGCUUGUAUCAUGUGUACAUAGAUCACAUCAGGUUUCUUUGCCCACUGGUGGAACAAGUGGGAAACAACACCUCGGUACUCCGCACUGAACCUAUAAAGUUAAGAAAAUCUACUUGAAAUUUUUAACAUGGGUAGCAGACAUUUAGAUUGUGCCAAUAUACGAACAUUCCAUUCAUAGCAGGUAUGUGUUUGAAGAAAGGACCUUUGUAAAAAGUUGCUGCUACCAUACUUUUCG